AUUGAACGCUGGCGGCAGGCCUAACACAUGCAAGUCGAACGAGUGGCGGACGGGUGAGUCAUGUCUGGGAAACUGCCUGAUGGAGGGGGAUAACUAAUGGAAACGGUAGCUAAUACCGCAUACCAUCGGAUGUGCCAAGAUGGGAUUAGCUAGUAGUUGGGGUAAAGGCUCACCUAGGCGACGAUCCCUAGCUGGUCUGAGCGGAUGACCAGCAACACUGGAACUGAGACACGGGCCAGACUCCUACGGGAGGCAGUAGUGGGGAAUAUUGCACAAUGGGCCAAAGCCGGAUGCAGCCAUGCCGCGUGUAUGAAGAAGGCCUUCGGGUUGUAAAGUACUUUCAGCGGGGAGGCGUUACCCGCAGAAGAAGCACCGGCUAACUCCGUGCCAGCAGCCGCGGUAAUUC
rnacentral:rRNA from 1 species